UCUCGUUUGGUGUAACGGUAGCAUCCCAGCUUGUCUUUCCAAUGACAGAACAAGCCGCUGGGGAUCGAGGUUCAACUCCUCGAACGAGAG